rnacentral:rRNA from 1 species
UUAAAGUUUUAUCCUAGCUUGUUCUUUCAUUUUUAGGUUAAUGGUACAUGUAAAUUUUAAUGUUACAAUACAUUUUGUUAAAACUAAAGGUUAACAAAUGGUCUGAAAGUAGAGGUUUCUUUAAGAAAUAAAUUCUCAGUACCUAGUGCUAAUCAAUAAAUAUACGUUAGAAUUGGUAAUCCUAAUUAUAUACCUGGUUAAAAUUUGUGCCAGCAGCCGCGGUUAGACUGAGAGGUAAAAUGAAAGAAAUUUGGUUAAAAACAGUUAUAUUUAUUAAUUUUUUUUCUUUUAAAGGACUAUAUUAAUAAAGGGUGAAAUCAGUUUUUUAAUAAAUAGUAAAAUAAAAGUCUUAAUUUUAAUUGAAG